AGUUCCUCUACAGCUGGCGGCCUGAGAGGAUGUGGGGCUGCUGCAAGCAAUGUGAAACAGAAUGGAAGGUGGAGGGGCCCCACAAACUAUCCCAGAAGGUGCUUGGUUUCCUACUUUGAAAGAUGGCACAGCUUUCUUUAAGCCUUGGCCCCAGGGCAAAGGAUAACAGACUUUAUUGCGUUUCAUUGGUCAUCUCUUCUGGGACCAAACCUCUUGCUCAGCAAACCAAUGCUAAGCCUAGUGGGCCAGGCAAUCUGCCCAGAAUCAUCCCUUCCAGAAGACAUGGCCUGAGCUUGGCUUCUUCCAGGACUGGACGUCUGUGUUUUCUGCCGCUAUAGGCACGUGCAGGCUGUGGAAAUUGCUGGGGCUCUGCUUCACCAAUGUCUGUUCAGUGUUGCUUCUGUUCAUUUUUCCAUAUAGCACUGUUUGUAAAGCCCAGAAGCUGCCUAACUUCUCCUGUUAAGCACCUUCUUCACAAGUUACUUCUUUUAAGUAGUUGCCCAUGAUAUUCCAAAGUUGCAUUCACAUACCAUCCUUUUUCGCUGGAUGUUACAAAUGAUUGAGCUUGGCAGAAGUCAGAGUACUUCUUGUUUUCUCAACCUGCAGCUUACGGGAGGUUAUGUACUAUACUAGAAUACACCACAUCCAGCCCUUUGAUCCAUACACUUUAGUACUCAAGUUGAUGAUGUCAAAUAUUAAACAUUCAAUAAUAGUGCCCCAAACCAAAAAAGCUAUGCAUUGUUUUUUCCAAUCUUCAAGGGUUAGGAUGUGACUGUGUCAUAUGAGAAACAUUAGCCUCCUUGCCUGAGGAUGAAUCUAGAGUAGACAAUGCCCACCCCAUAGACAGACAAGCAAUGCAGAGAUAUCUACUGAGAGGUGUCUCCUCCUUGCCCAUCUACAGCUUCCUGUUGGGGAUUUGAACUUGACUUCCAAGGUCUCUGACUCACCGAUCCAACCAAAUCCACUUUAAUCAUUUCCGAUUCCCUCUCACAUGUCCUUGGGACUGGAUAGAGACAGGCAGACAAACAACUUACACGUUAGGUCUAAAAACUCAAGACUCUAAUGUUAAUCUAAAACAUAAAUGCAUUUUCUUUCACUGCAGCAGAGUUUCUUUUGCUCCCACAAAUGCUAGCCAAGAAAAUCCAAGUGAAAUCUCUGGGGAGAAUAGAUGA
rnacentral:lncRNA from 1 species